rnacentral:tRNA from 2 species
GCCCUCGUAGCUCAGGGGAUAGAGCAUCGGCCUCCGGAGCCGUGUGCGCAGGUUCGAAUCCUGCCGAGGGCAC